rnacentral:rRNA from 1 species
AGAAUCAACGCUGGCGGCGUGCCUAACACAUGCAAGUCGCACGAGAAAGGGUAGCAAUACCUGAGUAAAGUGGCGCACGGGUGAGUAACACGUGAAUGAUCUACCUCCGAGUGGGGAAUAACUGAGAGAAAUCUUAGCUAAUACCGCAUAACACUUACGAGUCAAAGCAGCAAUGCGCUUGGAGAGGAGUUCGCGGCCGAUUAGUUAGUUGGCGGGGUAAUGGCCCACCAAGACGAUGAUCGGUAUCCGGCCUGAGAGGGCGCACGGACACACUGGAACUGAAACACGGUCCAGACUCCUACGGGAGGCAGCAGUGGGGAAUUUUGCGCAAUGGGGAAACCCUGACGCAGCAACGCCGCGUGGAGGAUGAAAUAUCUUGGUAUGUAAACUCCUUUCGAUGGGGAAGAUUAUGACGGUACCCAUAGAAGAAGCCCCGGCUAACUUCGUGCCAGCAGCCGC